rnacentral:lncRNA from 1 species
CGGAGAGAAAGAGCCUGGCAUCGAGAAGGGGAGGGCAGAGAGUCUGCAACUGGAAAUGCUGAGUGGCAAUUUCGUUUUAGCCUGGCUUGUCACAGGACUGAUGAAUGGGCCUCUAGCACGUUAAAAUCUCCCUCAGGUCCAAGCGGAGGCCUACCUCACCUAUGUGCAUCCAGAGACGGUAGGUGGCGCUGUGGUGUUAACAGAUUAAAGGAGGUCGUGAUAAAACGCUACGGAGAGAAGUGUCUGGAAAAAACAGGGAGUGGGAGUACUGGCUUGGAGAGGGGCAAGAUGAAUAUGCAUUCUCAUUCAAUGUCUUUCCAAUUCAGUCUAGGGUCGUGUACAGUGAUGUCCUGGACCUUCACAUUCACUGACCACUCACUGACUGACUCAUCUAGAGCAACUUCCAGUCCUGCAAGCUCCACUCAUGGUUCUGUACAUUAUGACAGUGGAGGAAUUACGGGAAUCAUUUCUGCAGCUCAAAUGGAAAUGUCGGUCUCCAAUACUCUUCUGUUAGGUUCACCAGUUUAGAAGCACCUGCGAGGUGUAUAUCAAAGAUUGUGGGGAUUCAAAGGAAGAAAAUACACUGUUUGGUUUAGAAACAAAAAGGUGGAAUAUAUACUCCAAGAAGUCUUCAUGACAUAGGAGGCAUUUGACAGAAAGAUGGGUCACAUUUAACAAGGCAGAGACAUGGUGCAUGGAAUAUUUAGAUUAAAUGUAGAAGCAGAUAGAAGGCAAAUGAUACGUUUGGAGUUUGACAAGAAUUUCAGCUUUAGACAUGGGGCUAGCAGGUGCUAUGAUUGUGCUGCAGGGCCAGAUGGUGAAAUGCUUGACCCAAGUGUUUGGAUUUUCUCAUGUGGGCAGCAAGGACUCAAUAAUUAACAAUUUGAAGAAUAAAAUACUGAAUUAGUUGAGACAAGAUUGGGUAUCAUUUUUAUUGUUUCAAAUAUUUCAGAAUACCAGUAUGCUGUUUUGCCACUUUGGCAUUUUAAUGGAGAUGUAAAAUUUCCCUCUCCACCCAAUUUGGAGUGAACAGAAGGAGCUGUACUUCUAAAAUAAUAUCGACAUAUGAGUUAGCUUUCUACAAACAUAAAAGAGGAUAAUUAGAAAACAUAUGUUUGAUUCCAAUGUAGGUUAAAAACAUUCACAUGUAUUUAAAAGUGUACACCUUGACCUUUGGCAAAUAGCUAAUAACAAAAUUUUAUUUUUGCAAUGUCUUUUAA